rnacentral:tRNA from 1 species
GCGCCCGUAGCUCAGCUGGAUAGAGCGACAGCCUCCGGAGCUGUAGGUCGCGCGUUCGAAUCGCGCCGGGCGUACGA